CCCCGCCUCGCCCUCGCAGUGCAUGCCGGUCUUGUGCUUGGAGUCGCCAUUUUGCUGCUAGAGAUGCUGUCUGAAGAUCAGUGCUCUCUUCCUUCAGCGGCCUAGGCUGCGUCGGGGCCUGAGCUGGGGUCUGGGCCAGGGCAUGAAAGUUCUCAAAUGUUCUGACGUGGACCUGGAAUGCAGCUCCCCAAGCAGCAGACAUGUAGUUCUUGAACAGACUGCCUGGACCAUGGUCUGAGCCAUGGACAAUUUGCUAUUCUCAAGAUUUCCUGUACUGAACAAACCCUGAAGUCCACAGAGUGAAUCUCUGAUCUCCUUUCCGAUGAACAGAACUGCAUCGACCAAGUGUUGGUCACUGAGUGGCAUGGAAGAUCAUCCAUCAGAAUUAUCACAGCCUCUACAGCAGGUCUUCAUGGGGCCACAGCUAACUGCUUGGGAUGGAUCCCCCAUUUCAUCCUCAGUGACCCUAAGCUCUCAAUCCACUGAGUCCCAACCCGUUUGGCACUAUAAACUAGGGCAGAGUGAGGCCCUUGCAUAGGGCCAAGACCUGAAUCCACAGGUGACCAAUUCCCACUGGGCUGCUAAGGUAAGAACUCAGCUUCUCAGCUUUGGUAGAGAGGUCAGCCCUGGAGGAGUCCAAAGAGGAGAGGCUGUGCCUGGGGUAUCUAUCCAGAAGGCUGGCUCCUUAGGCUCCUUCAGGCUGCGAGGCCCAUCUGCCUGCACCGUGCUUCCUGUACAGACCUCUACCCGUUUCUCUGCUGCCUGACUUCUGAGACUGUGGGUAGACAUGGAAUUGGUGUCCUGCACAUGGCUUCUCAGGAGGUUUUGGGGCUGAAGCAAAGCCCACACUCCAAUUAGUCUGCAGAGGCUAGUGGUAAUGGGCUCACAGGAGGGCCCUGAAAAAAAGGGAUUCUCUUAUUAAAACUUACAUUUCACAAGGGAAACUUAUAAAUACUAGCAUGCUCAGAUCACCUCAACAGAGAGGUUGAACAGAAGUCUAGGUAUGAACAAAACCUAUGAGUCCUAAGAUGGCACCUCCCCCCCAGUUUAGAGAUGAGAAAAAAAGGCUCAUUCUGGAUGUUCAGGUCCAUUAAUGAGGCACCGCAGAAUGUUCCCAAGAUUAUGAUGAAAAGUCCCCAGGAAGGAAUUAAGUUCAUCUUCUAUAGCCAUGGAAGGCUGAGCCACUGUGCUCACUGCUUUCUUCUUGUGCUCAUUUAGCCCAGAGGCUCCUACCAAAGGACCUGUAGUGCAUGGAAAAAUCCCAUGAGACAAGUGCCAGAGAAUUGAACAGAGUGGACUGACAUUUGAGGGCUCACAAAAUGACCUGUCUGCAGUGUUCCCACCUCCUAACCUGCCCCGUGUAAACACCUGUCCUGCUCCACAGCUGUGGUGCAUCCACAUGGGGAAGUUGAGAUCUGCACCUGGAUGGAAGACAUUCAGUCAGUAUUGGCUGUGUAACAGACUGACCUUUUCAAAGGUCAGUCAACAUCUAUACAUUUAACCUGAAAAUGUACUGCUAAGUCUUCAUUAUAAAAAGUGAGAUUGAAAGACACCCAUAUUCUUUUUUACUCAGUUAAGGUGUGAAAAAUUAGAAACCAUGAACAUAGCACACAGCAAAACUGCUGAGUGAAUUAUAAAUUUACAGGCACAGAAAAUGCUGAAAGAAGGCCAUGUUCUAGGCCAUGUCCCCAGUCUUACUUGAGAUGAGAGAAAGCUUAUGGCUUGGCCCUCUCUCCAUCCAGCAGUGAAGAGACACAGGCCCUCACAGCAGGCAAUGACAGGAGACAGGAGCUGAUGGAUGGCAGACCACUCAUGCUAAUGGCCCUGAUAGGUACAUUGUGAUCCCGUCUCACACUGCUGAGCCCUGGCUCUCUUCCUACCCAAACUUGUACUCUGUGCUGCCUCCCUGCCACACACAAACCUUGGGAAGAGGUGGCGUCUCUCUUUGGUUUAAGUAAGUUGUCUCAGGUGACAUUUUUUUCAACUAAGGGAAAAUGCCAUUUCCACCUUUAAAUGGACCUUGCUCUGCUUCUCGCAACCUACUUCUGUCCUCUGAGCCUGCGAAUGACAAGCCCAUGGAGGACUCUGGUACUGGAGAACUAUUUGUAUGCCAUUAAUAUAUGCUCUCUUAUUACAAAUGACAGAUUUAGAAAAAGAAAAGAAGAAAAUCUUGGUAUAUUUAUCUAUGUCACCAGGUUUGUGUUAGUUCCCUGUGCCACUUCACCACCCAACAAUGACAUUGUAUGAUAAAGGAAUUUGAGAGUAAAACCAAGAAGAGCAUUCACAUUUCCAGUCCUUUGCAGCUCCAUUCAUUAAGUGAUGGGCAAGUCUCCCAGGCUCUGCCUCACUCUGCCUCUGUCCCUCUGGUUGUCUCACGCACAUCUAUGUGUGUAUGCACAUUGAUGGCAGAGAUAUUUCAUUGUAAAAACUGAGAUCUUGCACACACAAAUGCAUCUUGCAUCAAUGGUAAUUUCAUGAUCAAAUUCCUUGGCCUCUUUCUCUGUGGGCCCAGAGAUACUGAGCUCAGCUUUCCUGAAGCUUUCCCUGCUUUCUGUGGCCUACACUGGUGCCCUGCACACUCUACCUGCAGGAUAGGGAGGGUCCUAGUUCCUUCAUUUUCUAAAAGUGCUAUGAACAACUUGAAAAGAAAGUUAAAAUGUUAUGCAGAUUUUUCUUUAUUUUUUUUUGUGUUGUUGUGGAGCUCUCUGUGUGGGAGAAACCUCUAUAAUUAGCUCAGAGAGGUCCAGGGACCCUGUGUAGAGCUCGGAUGGGAGCUGAGGGAAAUGGUUCUGCUUCCUCCACCCCAUUUUCUCCCCACUGCUGUUCCCCACUUACCUUAAAACCUGAAGUCAAAUGGGGACACAGCACAACUCAGUGACAUGGCCCAGAAUGUAUCUUCAGUGGGAUACUGUGCAUUUUGUACAUUUGUUGGCCAUAUGAGGAGAUUCCCUUUUGCACUGCAAUUAUUUGUCUCUUACCUCACAAAACAAAUGGAAAAGCAAUUCCAACCUCAAAGAUGAAUGUAUUUAGGUUUUAUUUAUAAACUGGGAUCUAUUUGGGACUGUCCCCUUUAUCAAAGAAAAAUAGUUAGUCUCUUCCAUUAAUGCUUGGCCAAAUAGAGCUGUGAUGCACUGAUGUGAAAACCUAGAGUACUAAAUCACAGAGGCAGAAAGAUCAGUGGUGGCUGGGGCUGGCAGGGAAGAGAGGGAAAUGUGUCCAAAUAUGAAUGAAGUUGUGGGAAAUGUUCUGGAACUGGGCAAAACUGAAGAUUGUUCAUAUUGAGAAUGUGUGCAUGCCACUGCACUGUGUAUGCUAAUUAAAGUGAAUGACAUCCUA